rnacentral:lncRNA from 1 species
UGGAGGUUGGUGAAGUAGUUGUUGUCGAAGCCAUUAGGGGUGGUGGGGUCCAAGUCGACCAAUGUGUUCCUGCUGCUACACGACUGGCAGAGCUCUUCUAGGUACGUGGGUUCCAGGGUUGAGGCCGGGGUGUUGGAGUUAAGGCGUUGAUCAAACGUCAAGCACCGAGCUUUGCCGAUUGUAUGAGCACCUAAGAAAGUAAAUUUGCAUGCUGUUAGAAGAGAAAGAAAGCAAAUAGUAUGGUUGUGGCAAUUGGCCUCUUACUAUGCAAGCGAUAAAUGAAGAGAUAAAAGUACUGAAAAAUUACAUUUCAUAAUGAUAAAACUCAAAUAUAGACAUUACAUUUGAUACGAGGGAAUCUUUACCUUUAAACCAUUAAUCCUUUCAUCUUUGUUAAAGGGUUAUUUUGAUAAUUUCAUUUUCAAGAAAUGAAGAAAUUAAUUAAGACUAGAUUUGGUAAAUCAAUUAAUUAAUUAAAUAUAAUUACCAGAUAAAGCAACCAUAUCGGUGGAGCCAAGUCCAACAUCCGAGAAUUUUUUUCUAAUUUGGUCGAAGGUGUCAAAAGGGCCUGGGAUGGCACUAGUACCAGCACUAUUUGCUGUAGUGCUGUCUCUUCUCCCAAACUGAACUUCCCAUGGAUUUGAUGGACCCCCAUCCUGCAAAAUGAACAUCCAAUAUAUAUAUAUAAACAUCCAAUGCAUUCAUUAAUUUAACACACAUAUAUAUAUAUAUAUAUAUAUAUAUAUAUAUAUAUAUGUGUGUGUGUGUGUGUGUAUCACAGCUUGAGAUUUUUGACAAAUGCAAGUAUAUCCCUUAUCCCUUGUAGUUUAUGGAGAGGUUAUGAAAUAUACUUUUGAAAGUUUUAAACUAUUAUCCUCUUGUGACAGGAGAAAUUUUAAAAUUUAUAAAAUUUUGUCUUAUUUAUUUAAAAGAGUCGAUUAUAAUGGAAAAAAAAUUAGCUUAUUUUCAAAAAAAUAGAGUGUAAUUGGAGAAAAUUAGAGUGUGAAAAUCACUAUCCCAUAUAUUUAAUUAUUAAUUUAGCUUGGUUAUUCAUAAGAAAUAGUGAAUGAAGAAAUUGAAGUACCAAAGUGACAGAAAUUUGAGAAGCAAGGGCCAAAAUGUCAGAACACGAAACGACGCCGGGGCAGACAUUCUCUAAGGCAGUCUUGAUGUCAUCAACCACAUCAUAGCCAGCAACUGUUUCAUUUGGGACUUCAUCUUUCUCAGUAUUUAUUCCAUCUGCAUUGUCCAGCAAAAGAGACCCAUCGCACCCCUGUAAUAAUAAAUUUAAUUAUUUAAAACAAGACAUUGAAAAAUAUUAAAAUAGAGAUUUUUAUUUUUAAAAAAAUAAAAUAGAGAAAUAAGAAUGAUCAAUGAAAUAAUAAAAAUUGUCAAAUUGGGAAACAAAACGUAAGAGAGGGAGAGCUAGUGACGUGGAAAGAGAGAGAAAAAUAGACAGACGGAUAAAAUACAUAAUUUUUGACCCGCAUAAUUUAUGUGGGCAGAUUGGUUUUUUUUGGUGAUUUUUUUUUGUGAAGGCCAAAAUAAUAAUUUAAAAAAACAAGGUGUUAUGCUGAAUUGACACUCAUGGUACAUACAUGGGAUAGCUUGUAAAAAAAAGUUUCAAGCUCCAAGCAAAUGAGAGGAUAGACGAGUGAAAGAGUUAUAUUAAUACUUGAUUUAAAAUGUAAAGAGCGAUUCGAUACAAUUAGAAGUGAAUGUGCAAAGUAAGAUUUUAAUAAAAGUGUAAAAGUGUAAUGUCUAAUUUACCCAAUUUUUUGAUUAGCCUGGUUUGAUGAACCACGUAUGUGGAAAAUAUGGGAAGAGAAAGAGAGAAAAAAAGUAUUACAUUGACGAAGCAAUCAUGGAAAUGAAGCCGAAUGAGUUUGGCGCCAAUUCGAGCAUCACUCCGUCGAGCCUGCUCCAAGACCCCUCGUGCCACGCUCGACGCAUUCGGGCAUGUGGUAUCGUAAAAUUUGGCACUCAAUUGAGCAUUAGCAGAGCCUCCAAAAAUGGAAACCAAGAAGAGAGCUAAAGCUAGAAAUUGAAAUGAAUUCAUGAGGAUUGUUUUCUUUUGUUUGCUAGAUAUGUUAAAACUUGGAAAUAAGAGGUUUGCUUUAAGCACGAGCCUAGUGUUGUUCUUGUGUGGUAUGUGUUUCAUUGAGAAACCUUUUUAUAGAGAGUAGUAGUUGACAAGGUUAGUAAUUAGGUCCAAGGAUGUAGAAAUUUCUUCCUUGAACUUUUCAUUUGAGUUGAAAUUUUCAAAUCAUGAGGGACCUCAUAAUGCAUUAACUAUGAGUUUGAAAUGAAUGUGUACUCGGCAUAUAGAAAUUUCUUCAUGAGGGGCCUCAUAAUGCAUUCAUUAUUAGUUUGAAAUUUCUUUCUUCUUGUUAUUUUUUAUUCUAUGUAUAUGAGAACUUGCAAUUUAUUUCUAAAACUGAUCUUAGAAGUAAUCAACUCAUUGGACAUAUGGAAAUGUGGAACGUUCUGUUAGUGACAAGGGUUAUAGGGUAAUUUCCUUUAUUGGCUUUCCUUAGUUCAAUUGAUUUAUAGUAACUGAACUUGUUUCAUCCAAAUUGAUUGUGUGAUCACAAGUCUAUUUGCCUGCCUUGUUCUCUCUCUCUAAAAUGUAAAGUAAGUACUUGACGUAGCAAAGUCUUAAUAUCGUGUUUGGAUUAACGGAUUUAUUGGAGGAAAAUGCAAUAGAAAGAGCAAAGGUAAUGAAUGUAACGGUUCAAAUUUAGUCAUUUUGCUUUAUUUUUCUUUUCUCUCCACAAAUAUCUCUUAAAUCGUUAAUUCAAAAAAAUCUAUUAAGGCCCUUAGGAAAUGGGCUUGAGUGUAAUUAAGGUUGUGUUUGAAACUUUGAAUUAAGAAUUGUGUGGAGGAAAAGAAAAUAAAAAAGUUAGUAGAUUCCAACUGUUCAGAUUUUAAUGUUUACUCUUUAAAUUUUUUUUAUUCAAAUCUCUCCUUUAAUUCAUCAUCCAAACGCAGCCUAAGGAACAAUGGAAAGAUUUUUUUAUUCAACUUUUAUAAUGAAUUAAGCUUCCAUGCACAGUAAUUGCAGUUUUAAGUAUUAAUUUUUUCUUUUUUGGGUAUAUACAAGUUAAGUUCAAAAUUUUAAAUAUUAAGGAAGUGGGUGAAUUUUAUUUUAGAUUACCAAUAAGUUUUUUUUGAGUAAGUUAAUUCACUUGAACCAAAGUAAAUCUAGACAAGCAUAGGCGGAGCUACAUAGAUCUCAGUGGGUUCAAUUAGAAUUUUUAAAAACUUAUAUGAAUUUAUAUGUAUAUUUGAUAUUUUAAUUUAAAUAUAGACAUUAAUGCGUUUUAAUAUCUAAUAUAAGAUGAAAUCAUGAGGUCAAAUUCUAUAAAUUAAAAUUUAAUUUUUGCUUAAUAACCUUACUUGGUAAAAACACUCUGGCUCUGCUAAAAUAAGGACAGGUUCUGAACUUCUGAUAGCAAAACCGAACAGAGAACAAAGUGAGAUUUGGUAACCAAAAUUCAUUAUAAUUUUUUUUUGGGUCUCAAACACUAGUUUCAUUACAACGAGGGUUCCUUCCUUUAAAGACAAGUUUCCUCUAAUGGUAAUUACAAAAAUAAUAAUUAUUAUUAGUUAAUAUAAUACAAAACGUGUAGGGUAGUCAAAUUAGGGGGCUCAGACAAAGUCCUACACUAGAAACCUUCUUCCUUGUGAUUUAUUAAUUAUGUGAAGAAGAAUAGAUCAAUUUAAAUAUAGUCACACACACAAACACACACAUAUAUAUUGGGGAAAUUUCAUUUCAGUGGUAAAUAGGGAUAAUAAUAUCAAAUCAGAGGGGCUGACAUUAUUGAGGAUUUAUCUUUAGAGGAACUUUGGAUUGUGUAAAUUUUUGUUUUCUUUAAGAGAAACUCUAUGGUUCCUGAAUUUGAAUCAACAAAUGUUAUUCGAAUUAAAAAUGGAUAGUAUAAAUUUACUUUAUUACGUAACCCUCACACUCUGAAUUAUUAAUUUUAAAUUCAAAAAAAAUUUGUUUGUCCAAAUGUGGGGACAAUAACGUUACUGUUUUUUUAAUAAGGAGUUGGUUUAGUGAUUGAAUUGUUAAGGCCUUUACUAAGCAUGCUAGGCUCGAGUCUUGCAGCUACAAAGUGUAACGUUCCGUAUUGUAAAAUAUAGAACAAAAAUUCCUUUUUUUCUUUCCUUUUUAGGUUACUUGAAACUAGAUUUGGCUUGCAUUUAGUUUAAAUGUAUCCAUAUCCUUUGAAAUAUUUGAUUGAGCAAGUUGAUACCUGUAUAUGCUUGCAUUUUGUGUUUGUGAAAAAAAGGGAAAAUUAAAGAAAAAGGAAAUUACUUUUAAAUAUUUUAUCUUUAAUAGGUAACAACAUAAAAAAAUAUUUUUAAUGAAACAACAUAGUAGUUUUCUUCUAAUUUUUCUAAUUCAAAUAGACUAAAAAAGAAGAGGAAAGAGUCAGCUUUUUUCACUUCAUUUUUUGCUCUGCCCUUUCUAGCCGGUACUUAGGGAGAGAUUUACAGAGUAAAAAAAAAAUAAAAAAAAUAAAAAAAAAUUAAAUUUCAACCAUUUUAUACACUUUGUUUUCUUUUUUUUUUUAACUAAAUUCUUAAUUCAAACACAACCUUACUUUUUUAUCCACGGAUGUUUUUUAUUUAAAUACAGAAUAAUAACGAUUGAUUUCUUAUUGGACAUGGUCCUGAAAUGCAACUUUUGAACCCCGGAAGGACAAAUAGAGUUAUGCAUUUUGACAAAUAUAAGCAACUACUAUUUUUCUUUCUGGUACCAUUAUUUGCUUCUUUGAUUUUUCUGGAUUAGGGGUUAAUGCAUGAGACAGGGUCAUGAAACAGUUAAUAGAAGUCUAUUCACUCCAUUUCAUCGAGUUCAACAUGUAAUUGCAUUAAUCCAUAUAUUUAUGAUCUGUAGAAAAAAGUGUAUUUAUCUCUAGAAAUUAACACUAGAUUAAUUAACAAGAAAAAGACAUGAACAUAUAAUUGGCAAAUUUAUCCAUUUUGGCUAAAUUUUGCUAAGAAAGUCCAUAAAUUAUUUUGUUUUCCUUAAAAAGAAAAACAAACAAUUGGCAAAUUGUGUGUUGGAGAUGCUCGGGCGUGUCAAGAUUGGGCUUGGUCUGAGUGGAUGAACUGACUUCUAAUUUGACGAAUUGCUUGUGGCGAGAAAACCCACCCCCAAUUCUUUUUUGUCUUGGUGCGUUAACUUCACAAUUUCUUAAAUAAUGUAGAAACAAGACGAAGCGCGAAACUUAAAAAUAAAAUUGAUAAAGUUGAUCAUUGAUUGCAAGCUAGGAAAGAAAAGUUACAACUGCAAAUUGGAAUUGAAAAUUACAUAAAGAAAAGAUAAUUGACUGAAAAUAAAAAUUUACUGAAAUUGAUGGAGUGCUGGAGCUUGUGUGGUCGGUGACCUUUGCAAAUCCUUUGGAAAUUUUUAUUUAUAGAGCUUCCAAACAUUUCUUCCAUGUCCAUGCCGGACGGUUACUCACAUAAACACAGCACCCACGAACCCAUUUUUGCAUUCAAACAGUGCUCCCAGAUCCAUAGCCAUUGAUCUCUCGGGUCAAAUCUAGAAAAUCUUGAUCUUGUCUUGAGGAAGCAUGCCCACCUGUGAGCCCGGAACGCUGGAUCACCUCAUGAGCUCAGAGAUUAAUUAGGAGUAAUAAAUGGCAGUUGUUGCCAUUAUAUACUACCGCAAAAAUGUCAGUGGAAACAUCCUUUUCCUCAUGGAAAUGAUUCCAUGCUUCUCCUCCUCUUUAUUAGAUGCGUUCCAACCUCCCCAUGCUCGCCACGUGUCCUCUUUACUGAGGUAUAAACACAAUGGUCCCUAAAUUAUUCACCCAGUAUCACUUUGGUCCCCUUUGUACUAAUUAUGCUAUGUAGAUUUUUGGUGGAAACAUUAGAAUUUCGAGAUUCAUCAAUUUCAUUGCAAUUCGUUGUUCUUUGAUUAUCUGCCAGAAUUUGAAGGAGCAACAUUAGAAUUAGUUUUUUUUUUUUUUGCAUUCAUGUUCCUGCAGAAAAGAUGUGCUUUUAGUGUAAAUAAAUUUUAUUGUGUCAUAGAAAAAUCGAUGGCUUAUAGAUACUUCAAGCUUGUGGCAUCUCAAGAUUUAUUCAUAUUCAUUACCAAAAUCAUAGGUAUUGGUCAUUAGGAAGAUGAAGUCUUGUUCGAUCGACUUCUAUAUAAGGGGACUUGUUUGCUAUUGAUUUUCGUUUCCUGUUUUCUCCUUUUGUUUUCCAAAUGUUUCUCGUUUCGGUUUCCAAAAAAUGCAGUUUUUUGCAAAUAAAUAUGAAUUCUCUUUAGGGGUCUUGUUGGAUAUCGAUUUUCAUUUCCUGCUUUGUGUUUUCUGCAGUUUUUCUGAAAGAACCCCUUCUUCAGAAAACACCAAAAAUACAUUUUCAGACUUUCCAAAACAUUUAGUUUUUGCAACAAAAUGUGACUUCCAUUUAGGGGACUUGUUUUCGAUUGAUUUUCAUUUUCUGUUUUCUGAAUUCAUUUUGGUGUUUUUUGAAAAAUGAUUUUUUGUCAGAAAGUUUCGGAAAAUUUUUGCAGACUUUCCAAAACAGAUUUUGCAACAAAAUAUGAGCGAUAGAAAAACAGAAUCUGGUUUCAAACUUCCAUUGUUUUCAUUUCCAUCUAUUUUCGUUUGUCAGGCCUCUGAAUCGAUAUUUUUCCUUCAUCCUACCAUUGUUCUGAUAGUUCCUCAUGUUUAAUCAGGCUUUAUUUGCGUUUGCAUUGAUCUCUAUGUCGUCGGCAUAUAGUAAUUGUUUAAAAUAGCAUCUGGAUUUUUUAAUUGGGCUCUCAGACCUAAAUAUUGCAGUCUUGCAGGGAUUAAGAAUGUUAACGAAUAAAGUAUAAGCAGGUGAACUCCAUUCAGCAUAUAGUAGUUGUUUAAAAUAGCAUCUGAAUUUUUUAAUUGGGCUCUCAAACCUAAAUAUUGCAGUCUUGUAGGGAUUAAGGAUGUCAACGAAUAAGGUAUAAAUAGGUGAAAUCCAUACCCGAUAUCCGAAUUCAAACUAUAUAUAUUCCCAUACACAUACUCAAUACAUAUCCAAAGUUUAUAUUUAAAAGCUACCAAUUUCCAAAACCAAUGGGGAUUAGGUAAUUCCACUAAUUAAUACCUAAUAUGCAAUUCCGAAGAGAGAUUGAUUUCGACGAGACAAAGCCACAAAGCCCUUGAUGGUAUGAUAGUGACAGGGAGAGGCCAAGAGCAACAAGGAGGGGGCGUACCCAUGCCAUAUCUGAACAAAUAUUUCACGCAUUUUACAAACGUACAAUACCUGUGGCGAACUGACAAAAAAUAUUGGAUAAAACCUAGAUGCAAAUGGUUUCGGUUUGGGCCUUUAUUAAGUUCAGGUUAAAUUGUCAUCUCCAUCCGGGACAAAUAAAAGAACUCUUCACAAUGAUAUAGUAUUAAUUUAGGUUAAUUAUGGAAUUGGUAAUUUGCUAAUCAUCUGUUCAUCAGUGGUUCAAAAUCAUAUAUAUUGCAUUGAACUAAAUGUUGAUGUGCUAUCCCCAAGAUGAAGCCUUACUCUUUGAGCUGAAUGUUGGUGCUUAAAUGCAUGGUACUUCGAAAAUUGCAUAUUAUGUGCUAUCUUUUGGUUAGAAGAGUAUAUGUCAAUGCCCACAAACAUUGGUGCCUCAAAGGUGGAGUGAGAGGAUAUGCGCUCUCUCUCUCUCUCUCUGAUAAUAAAUUUGAAGAUUUUUAGGACUCAACUGCAUGCUUGAUCUAACACUUAAUUCCUAAUCUAUGGUUGUCUCUUGAUACUUUGGUCACUCCCACAUUACAUUGGUCUUGUCAUUUUAAAAUUGAAAUAUUAAGUUCAAAUUAUAGUAAGUGUUUGGUUCAUCCUUGUAAGUUAAUUUAUUUAUAUUAUUUGCCUAAAAAAGUUGAGUAACAGUGUUUGGCAGCAAUUUUAAUUUAUUAAUUUGACCCCCCAAAGUGAGAUUUUUUAAGCUUUGAUUUAUAGUUUUUUAUGGAUUAUUUGAACCAUUUAAAAUAUUUUUAAUAAAAAGAGCUCAUACUUUUAGGAAAAUUACACUAAUCUCCCCUGAGAUUUACCUUUAAUUCGGGUUUUCGUCUAAAGUUUGAAAAAUUAUACUAACUCGCCUUUCAGAGUUGGUGUUCUAGUUGUGGAGAUAGAAAUUAUUUAAAUACCCCUAUGUGUUAUGUCACACAAACUAAAAUACCCUCUCUCUCUCUCUCUCUCUCUCUCUCUCUCUCUCUCUCUCUCCUAUAAUCUUGCAUCCACCGCCACCACCGCUGCUCCCACUCCAACUCUCAUUCUCAUCACCUUCAUCAACCUCUUAUAGAAAUCACAACCCUCCCAUCAAACUUAAUUUGAAAUGUUCUUUUGGAUACUUUGAAGAAAAUCAAACUAAAACUGAAGCUUUCUUAGCUUUCUUUUGGGUGAUUUAGAGACAAUUAAAUACAAUUUAAAAUGGUUUUUUGUGUAAUUUUAGAAAAACUAAACCCAAAUUAAAAAAAAUUAAAUCCAAUUUGAUUUUUGUUUGUGAGAGAGAGAAAUUUUGUCCACAAAUUAAACACAAUUUGUGGUGGUGGAUGCAUGAUUAUAGGGGAGAGAGGGUUGGUUGGAGUGAGAGGUUUAAAAUUGGGUUCUGUUACUGACAUCAUCCAAAUGGGGGAAAAUUAUGAUUUAACUUUAAACCUCAUGGGAGGUUAGUGUAAUUUCUAGAAGGUGAGAGAUGAAUCUGUAUUAAACUUAAAUCUCUGGGAGGUCACUGUAAGUUUCCCUACUAUUUUCACUUAAAUACCGAAAAGUUUUAAAGGAAGAACCUUUACAAUUUAAAUAUUUAUUUUACGAAAAGCUAAUUGACAAUUUACCUAAUAAAUUUACUGCAGCCUGUCACAUAUAAUUGAACGAACCAAUUUUGAAUUAUUCGGAUCUUGAUGAGGGUUAAAUUGGAACUUGAUUUGACUUAUUUGAAACUUCAAGGACGAAAGUAUGGUUUAUAAUGAACUGCAAGGGUGCAAAUUGUAAAUUACUCAACUUAUAGAAUAUCCGCAAUACCAAUAGUAAUGAAAAAGAGAGAAACCAAUCUCCUCGCUCCACCCUUUUAUUCCAUCAACAAUUGAAUGCAAAUUCUUACAUAGCAUCACAAUUUUUUUAUUAAUCAUGAAACACCUCCAAUCACGAGACCACUUAAUUAACCCUCUUGCAAUCAGACCUUAUCUGCCCAUUAUUUCCGGUCAAAGGACUUAUAUUUCCUAUUUUGACCAUGGAUUGCCCAAAGUUGUCAAAGAAAUCGCUUUGGCUGCUUGCAAACUGGUUCACGAUGGGAAUGGUGUCAGAACCAUUGGUCGAGAACAGAAAUUGGUCGGUUGUGAGAAGCCCUUUGUUGUUCUGGAGGUUGAUGUAGUAGUUGUUGUCGAACUCGUUAGGGGUGGUGGGGUCAAAGUCGACCAACGUCUGCGGGGUGCUGCACGCUUGGAUGAGCUCUUCUCGGUAAGUGGGGUCCAGGGUCGAGUCUGGGGGGUCAAAGCGUUGAUUAAACGUUGCGCAUCGAGCUUUGCCGAUUGUAUGAGCAC